AGUGAACGCUGGCGGUAGGCCUAACACAUGCAAGUCGAACGGCAGCACAGUAAGAGCUUGCUCUUACGGGUGGCGAGUGGCGGACGGGUGAGGAAUACAUCGGAAUCUACUUUUUCGUGGGGGAUAACGUAGGGAAACUUACGCUAAUACCGCAUACGACCUACGGGUGAAAGCAGGGGAUCUUCGGACCUUGCGCGAUUGAAUGAGCCGAUGUCGGAUUAGCUAGUUGGCGGGGUAAAGGCCCACCAAGGCGACGAUCCGUAGCUGGUCUGAGAGGAUGAUCGGCCAAACUGGAACGGAGACACGGUCCAGACGCCUACGGGAGGCAGCAGAGGGGAAUAUUGGACAAUGGGCGCAAGCCUGAUCCAGCCAGACCGCGUGGGUGAAGAAGGCCUUCGGGUUGUAAAGCCCUUUUGUUGGGAAAGAAAAGCAGCAGGUUAAUACCCCGCUGUUCUGACGGUACCCAAAGAAUAAGCACCGGCUAACUUCGUG
rnacentral:rRNA from 1 species